AGAAAACACUGACCAAAUUACCUGUACAGAUCCCGGCAGACAGUAGUCACUUAUCUGAUGGUCAAUUUUUCAAUUUCACUGGCUGAUGUUGAGAAAUUACACCCCCGUCCAUCGAUAUCAGUUACGAUUUACAUUUCACUCUUAACACUACCCGAAAACAAGCCAAAAAAAUUAACUGGGCCGAAGACGUUUAAGUCGAGCAGGAGCUGGUGGACUGGGAUUGGGUCUGGAUGUGUAUCUGUAUCUGAAUAUGGAUCUGGACAACACUUUCACGGCCCAGAGCGACUUGCUAAUGGGAGUCGUUGACGUGCGCCUACUUUCCUCUUGUUGGCAUCUUUUGCGCCUACACGUUCCUCAUGUCGAAGAGAGUCCUUUGGAAAGGGUAUACUGGAUUAGUAGGCCCAACUAGUUAGCAACUUGAUUCAUACCCAUUCAAUUGGCAUUGUCAUGCGCUUUCUGGAAGCUGCUCCACAUCAGUUGCAUUCCCAUCGACGGCCAAGUUGCAUUUAUGCAUAUUGACAUGAAAGAAGUGGCCCGUUACCAGCGUAAUGAUGCCAAUGGGCUGGAGCUGAGGAAUUGGAGGUACUGGUUCAGGAGGUAUGUGGGUCCGAUGUGAGGGAUCAGCCAGUCGAUAACUGACAGGCACGCAAGGCGCCCGAUGCCGACCAUUGGCUAAAAAAAAAGAACUCGACUUGACUUGGAAUGACCCUUUUUGCCCCCUCGACUGGCAGCACGUGCAUAUUGCGAUGCGGCAAUGAAAAUGUAAAUUUCCCAAUCGAUAUGCAGCGGAUGCCUUGACAUCGGCUAAUGCCGAUAAGCGUAAACUUUACAGCGGAGAUGCAAUCCGAGGGAUACGAUCUGCACAGGUACACAUUGCAGGUGUAACAACUGUCGGUUGCGGCAAGUGGCUCGUAAAUUGCACAGGAGGACAUUCACGAGGGACGUUCAGGACAUUCGACGACUCUCAGGGUUGGACAAAAGGUCAAACAUG